AGCUCCAAAAGUGUAUCUUAACGUUGUUGCAGUUAAAAAGCUCGUAGUUGAACCUCUGGCGUCCCCGCAGCCUCUUCUGAGUGCUAUACGGGGGCGUCAUCCGCUUGGGAAGGCGUUCUGUGGGAAACCUCGUUCGUCGGAACAGGCAUUUUACUUUGAAGAAAUUAGAGUGUUUAAGGCAGGCAAUUGCUUGAAUAUAUCAGCAUGGAAUAAUGGAAGAGGAUUUGUCCUUUCAUUGGUUACUGGGCAUUUAAUGAUUAACAGGGACAGUUGGGGGCAUUCGUAUUCAUUUGUCAGAGGUGAAAUUCUUGGAUUAGAUGAAGACGAACUAAUGCGAAAGCAUUUGCCAAGGAUGUUUUCA
rnacentral:rRNA from 1 species